rnacentral:snRNA from 1 species
GUGCUUGCUUUCAGCAGCACACAUACUAAAAUUGGAACAGUACAGAGAAGAUUAGCAUGGCCCAUGCGCAAGGAUGACACACAAAUUCAUGAAGUAUUCCAUAUUUUU